UGUGCAAAAAUCACAAGCAUUCUUAUACACCAAUAACAGACAAACAGAGAGCCAAAUCAUGAGUGAACUACCAUUCACAUUUGCUUCAAAGAGAAUAAAAUACCUAGGAAUCCACCUUACAAGGGAUGUGAAGGACCUCUUCAAGGAGAACUACAAACCACUGCUCAAGGAAAUAAAAGAGGAUACAAACAAAUGGAAGAACAUUCCAUGCUCAUGGCUAGG
rnacentral:lncRNA from 10 species